rnacentral:rRNA from 1 species
UACGGAGGGUGCAAGCGUUAUCCGGAUUUACUGGGUUUAAAGGGUGCGUAGGUGGGUUGGGAAGUCAGUGGUGAAAUACUUUCGCUUAACGAAGGAACUGCCAUUGAUACUCUCAAUCUUGAAUGUAGUGGAGGUAGGCGGAAUGCGUCAUGUAGCGGUGAAAUGCUUAGAUAUGACGCAGAACACCAAUUGCGAAGGCAGCUUGCUACACUACUAUUGACACUGAGGCACGAAAGCGUGGGGAUCAAACAGG